CUGGUGUUCGGGUUGUCAUGCCAAUGGCACUGCCCGGUAGCUAAAUGCGGAAAAGAUAAGUGCUGAAAGCAUCUAAGCACGAAACUUGCCCCGAGAUGAGUUCUCCCUGACUCUUUAAGGGUCCUGAAGGAACGUUGAAGACGACGACGUUGAUAGGUCGGGUGUGUAAGCGCAGCGAUGCGUUGAGCUAACCGAUACUAAUGAACCGUGAGGCUUAACCUU
rnacentral:rRNA from 1 species